AACGAACGCUGGCGGCAGGCUUAACACAUGCAAGUCGAGCGCCCCGCAAGGGGAGCGGCAGACGGGUGAGUAACGCGUGGGAAUCUACCCAUCUCUACGGAAUAACGCAUGGAAACGUGUGCUAAUACCGUAUACGUCCUUCGGGAGAAAGAUUUAUCGGAGAUGGAUGAGCCCGCGUUGGAUUAGCUAGUUGGUGGGGUAAAGGCCUACCAAGGCGGCGAGCCAUAGCUGGUCUGAGAGGAUGAUCAGCCACACUGGGACUGAGACACGGCCCAGACUCCUACGGGAGGCAGCAGUGGGGAAGAUUGAACAAUGGGCGCAAGCCUGAUCCAGCCAUGCCGCGUGAGUGAUGAAGGCCCUAGGGUUGUAAAGUUCUUUCACCGGUGAAGAUAAUGACGGUAACCGGAGAAGAAGCCCCGGCUAACUUCGUGCCAGCCGCCGCAGUAAAAC
rnacentral:rRNA from 1 species